rnacentral:rRNA from 1 species
AUUGAACGCUGGCGGCAGGCCUAACACAUGCAAGUCGAGCGGAUGAAGGGAGCUUGCUCCUGGAUUCAGCGGCGGACGGGUGAGUAAUGCCUAGGAAUCUGCCUGGUAGUGGGGGAUAACGUCCGGAAACGGGCGCUAAUACCGCAUCCGUCCUGAGGGAGAAAGUGGGGGAUCUUCGGACCUCACGCUAUCAGAUGAGCCUAGGUCGGAUUAGCUAGUUGGUGGGGUAAAGGCCUACCAAGGCGACGACCCGUAACUGGUCUGAGAGGAUGAUCAGUCACACUGGAACUGAGACACGGUCCAGACUCCUACGGGAGGCAGCAGUGGGGAAUAUUGGACAAUGGGCGAAAGCCUGAUGCAGCCAUGCCGCGUGUGUGAAGAAGGUCUUCGGAUUGUAAAGCACUUUAAGUUGGGAGGAAGGGCAGUAAGUUAAUACCUUGCUGUUUUGACGUUACCAACAGAAUAAGCACCGGCUAACUUCGUG